UACCCUGACCCUAGAAAUUCCCCCCCCCCCCUUAAAAACUUCUACCUGAGUUAUUCUGGGAUGUAUAUCAUUUCAGAGUGUCCUAAAAACAAACCGAUUUCGGGUGUUUCUGUGAUGGCAAGUUAUGCUUGUGCCUAGGACAGUGGUGAUGGGGAAGGCGGGGUUGGGAUUACUUCCUGUUGGGGCCAACCGUGAACUAAUAGGGCCAGGAGAUAAUUAAGAUUCAAGGGGUACUGAGUUCCAGUUAAGCAAAGGAUAGGCUAUACCAGGUAAAUUCCCUUGUUCAUCAGUUCCCCACACAGAAUUUGGGGCAUCUUGGUUUCAGUGUUCACCUACUUCUUUCAUGUUUUCCUGCUGCCCUUUGCUCCUAUCAUGAAGGCGAGCCCAGCACACCACCUUGCCCCUGCCCCAGGCAUGGUGUCGAGGAAAUAGAGUUUGGAAGGAAGGGUUCAACCCAGCCUUCUCAGAAGAGGAAAAGUUUGGUCUGAAAUACGACAAAAACUUUGGAGAGGACCUGAGAUGAGGUCUGUAAAUUGUGAUGUGUGAUGCUUCUCUUCCCUGGGGCAGAUUUUUUUACAAUCCAGAAAUAAAACCAAGAAUCCCUUGGAGACCUUUAGGGGAAGCCUACCUGGUGGCAGCCCCUGCAUGGCUAUUUCCAGGAAAGUAUGGCGCUUCCACAUACCUGUGUCCUUCCGAGGUGUGUUCUUACCCUUCCAGAAUUAAUUAAUGUUCAAGGGCAAGCCUAGCAUUCCAGGGAGGUUUUUUACAACCGGAGAAGAGCUGGAAUUCACUUGAGUUCUGGCAGAAUAGAGAAUUUAUCUACCUAACCUGAGGGCCAGAAUAGAUCUAUUUUGUCUUCUGUCUUCAAGUUAGAUUAUAAAAUACCGUAUUUAUCCUACAAGCCUAACCUCUCUGUUAGACCGAGCCACAGAUUGCCAUUUUUUAAGACAAACAGUUUUCAGUUUACUUCGGCCAGUUCCUCUUUCGGUAAGUAUCCAGAAACUUCUGGGAAACAUCUGGGGUUUGCAUCCAAACUGAGUGAAGAUCAGCUGAGUUUUCUUCAAAUGGGUCUUUUUCACCUCUUUAAGUGGAAGUGGAGAAGAAUUGGGCAUGUGUAGAAAAGGUGGUGUGGAGGAGCCCUGUUGUCCUUGACUGGGAUUCUUGUGGCAGUGUCCCUGGAGGGGUGUCUCUAAAGAGGAGAGCGAGGGGUGAGGAAUAGGGCGGGAAGAAGCCCCCAAGGUCAGGCCACCAGAACCAUCAUUUCACAGAUGGGAAACUGAGGCAGGCACUGAGCCAUGGCUGACUCCAGCAUGGAAGCAGAUCUCAGCCCCCUGUCCUGAAGUCCCUGUCUACCUCCCGUCACCUCCCUCCCUUUUCUGGCCCACCUGCCUUUCAGUGUUGAUCACUUUACAAACAGGGACAGAUUAUAGCUGAGAAGGAAAAGUCGGGGAGUUCCUGUUGUGGCAUAGCAAAAAUGAAUCCGACUAGGAUUCGUGAGGGAUAUGGGUUCAAUCCCUGGCCCCACUCAUGGGUUAAGGAUCUGGUGUUGCCCUGAGCUGCAGUGUAGAUUGCAAAUGCGGCUCAGAUCCUGCUUUGCUGUGGCUGUGGUGUAGGCUGGCAGCUGUAGCCCCGAUUCAACCCCUAGCCUGGGGUAUAGCCAGGUAUAGCCUUAAAAAAAAAUUAUGCAUUUUAUUCAUACACACACACACACACACACACACACACACAUAUAUAUAUAUAUAUACACACACACACAUUUUUUUUCAGAUUCUUUUCCCAUAUAGGCUAUCAAAAAGUUUGGAAGAAUAUUAAAAGUUUGGAAAAAGCAAUAAGCAUAACUAUGACCUGCAUGGCUGGGGCUGGGAUUACUGUAGGGGACAGACCAGACCAGUGACCAGUUGUUGUGACCAUUGAAUGAGGGUUAGAACAGUCAGUAGCCAGACUGACUCUGCAGAAUUCCAUCUACACCCCCGCACACACACACACACCCCCACACACACACCCACACACACACCGUUAAGCCCUCAGGUGCCAGGAAGACUGGAGUUGCUGUCUUCUUAGAUAUUUAUGUGUCCACUGUCCAAAAGGGUAAAGCCCAGACCUUGGAAACAUUUCAAGAUCAUAAAAUCCAGGCCCAGGAGACUCUGUGACUCCUGAAGAUAUUUUAUUUAUAUCCCAAAAGGUCAAGGUAAGAACCCAGGGUCCUUUCCCCUCCCAUCUUAAAGGAGCAAAGGUUUCUCUCCUUCUUUUCUAGACAUGGAAAAAAGCACUUCCUUUUCUCCUGCAGUUCCCGAAGCUCUGGGAUGUAUCUGCCCCUGUAGAAAGUCCUCAUUUGGAAAUUCCUCUUCUGGCUUACUGGGUUAAGAACCUGACACAGUGGCCAUGAGGAUGUGGGUUUGAUUCCUGGCCUCGAUUAGUGGGUUAAGGAUCUGGCAUUGCCAUGAGCUGUGUGUAGGUCACAGGCUCGGCUUGGAUCCCGUGUUGCUGUGGCUGUGGUGUCGGCCGGCAGCUGUAACUCUGAUUCAACCCCUAGCCUGGGAGCCUCCAUAUGCCGCAGGUGCAGGGGGUGAAAAAAAGAGAAUGUCCGUCAGCUCUCAUCAUCUCGCCCAGGAGUCUGGGUCUGGGAGCCGACUCUGCAGGGUCUGUGGCUGUGUGGUAUGGGUGUGUGUAUCCGCAGAGAGCACCUUCCCCAACCACUGCCUUGGGAUUCUGCCGUGUCCACGUAUCUAAAGCACAUAACUGGAAGUGGGCAACAUCUCAGAGCCUGCACGUUUUGAUGAACCGGUCCAUACACUGGGCUCUUUGCUGGUCCAGAGAAUCCCGGGUCCCUGUGUGUGGAUCAGGUCUGAGGACCCAGGAAGCACAGGACACGGGGUGUGUCAGCAGGACUGAGUGACUUCAGACAACCUCACUGGCAUUCCUUCUUUUACCAAAGAGACCCUGUGUAUCACUAAGCGGCCAAUUGUAGCUGGAUUCUUUUACAGUAAAGUGUAGUUCUAAUGCAAUGCCUCUGUCCACGCUGUUCCUGAAAGGAGUGAAAAAAAUGCUGGCGUCUCCCGGUGUUUCCACUUUUGAUCUGUCUCAUCUGGGAAUUUAAUACAUUUUCUGAUCAAAGUCCAAAGUCUCUGCUUUGCUCCAGCUUUAAUCUUUGGCUAUAAAGUCUCCCUUCUGUUACACACACACACACACACACACACACACACACACACACACACACAUCAGUUUACAGCCAAACAGCAGUUUCGUUUGGGGGACUGGAGGGGUGAGUAGGGAAUACAUAUCUAGAUAAAGGGGUAAUCAAUGCCUUCACUAUGGGAAGGUAGUUUGGACAGUUCAGGUAAACGUUAACCAUUUUUCAUGUAAGUGUUCAGUAUGUUUGAGAUCUUUAAUUCUAUACACUGAAUUUUGUUCAUUGUUGAAAUGGCCCUAAGCCAUAUUUUUCUGUUAUUUUAAAAAAUAUUUAUGUUGAGAAAAAGACGGAAAAUAAUUUAAAUUCAAAUAUUUCUCAAACUCCAUAUUCACUUAUGUUACUUUUUUUUUUUUGAGAAAAAAAAUUUGUUUCCCUUAAGAAAAGUGAUAACAUUUAUCAAGAAGUCCAAAGGAUCCCUUCACAAAGGAAAACUCCUUUACCUCCCCUGACAGUGAGUUGUUCAGACAG
rnacentral:lncRNA from 1 species